CAGUCGAAACAAAAUGCAAGCAAAAGCAUACCAGAUAACCACGAAAAGCAGUCUAAACUUUGACUACGGCUACUUUCUCUUGUGAUUUGCCAGAAAAUUGGAUCAUCAUAUUUAAAGAGGGUAAGUUGGACGAUCGUGUAUAAUACCAUAAUGACCAAGGAAGCAAAAGCAAAAGAAAAAAGGAAAUAAACAGGGUUCUUCACUCCAAAAAGACUUCAAAAGAGCAUAACUUAUUAACAUACAAUACCAUAACAAUCGCUUGAUACUUUCUAAUAUGGUACAACCCAUUGGUACAGUCCAAUAAUAUGCAACAUAUUAGUUAUAACUGAGUUUAUAUCUAGCUUCAGUACCAAAUACCAACUGAGUUUGAUAUGUCAAAAUGAAAUGCAACUACUAUUCUUUCUCUUAAGUCAUGGUAUGAUGUUCUAUUUCAAGAAGCCGUAGAGUGGCUUCUCUUUCACUAACUACCAAAUUCCCAGCUACACUGCCUCUUCCUUUUCCCUUUUGCUUUUUCUUUUCCUUUACCAAUUCCACUAGGGCACUUCUACUAUACUUAUACACAACAAAUACAAAUGUCUUAGAACUAUUACGCCCCAAGUUUAAAGUCUUAGACAAACAAAGAAAGAGAGAAAAAAUGAGUACGCCGGCGUUGCACCCUGUUGAGGCUCCACCGGUGACUAAUGUUGAGGCCUGGAAGACAUAUGCAGUACUUAUAGAUGUUUAUGUGCCUCAACAGAGCAUGACAAUAAAACACUCAAUAGUUAUUGAAUCCAUCCAUCCAUCCAUCUAAUGUUGGUCAGAGUUGUGAUACUGGCUCUUCCAAA
rnacentral:lncRNA from 1 species